UACGUAGGUGGCAAGCGUUGUCCGGAAUUAUUGGGCGUAAAGCGCGCGCAGGCGGUCCUUUAAGUCUGAUGUGAAAGCCCACGGCUCAACCGUGGAAGGUCAUUGGAAACUGGGGGACUUGAGUACAGAAGAGGAAAGUGGAAUUCCAAGUGUAGCGGUGAAAUGCGUAGAGAUUUGGAGGAACACCAGUGGCGAAGGCGACUUUCUGGUCUGUAACUGACGCUGAGGCGCGAAAGCGUGGGGAGCAAACAGG
rnacentral:rRNA from 1 species